UAGAGUUUGAUCCUGGCUCAGAUUGAACGCUGGCGGCAUGCUUUACACAUGCAAGUCGAACGGCAGCGCGGGCUUCGGCCUGGCGGCGAGUGGCGAACGGGUGAGUAAUAUAUCGGAACGUACCCAAGAGUGGGGGAUAACGUAGCGAAAGUUACGCUAAUACCGCAUACGAUCCAAGGAUGAAAGCAGGGGACCGCAAGGCCUUGUGCUCCUGGAACGGCCGAUAUCUGAUUAGCUAGUUGGUGAGGUAAAGGCUCACCAAGGCAACGAUCAGUAGCUGGUCUGAGAGGACGACCAGCCACACUGGAACUGAGACACGGUCCAGACUCCUACGGGAGGCAGCAGUGGGGAAUUUUGGACAAUGGGGGCAACCCUGAUCCAGCAAUGCCGCGUGAGUGAAGAAGGCCUUCGGGUUGUAAGGCUCUUUUGUCAGGGAAGAAAAGGGAGUGGCUAAUAUCCAUUCCUGCUGACGGUACCUGAAGAAUAAGCACCGGCUAACUACGUGCCAGCAGCCGCGGUAAUACGUAGGGUGCAAGCGUUAAUCGGAAUUACUGGGCGUAAAGCGUGCGCAGGCGGUUUCGUAAGUCUGUCGUGAAAGCCCCGGGCUUAACCUGGGAAUUGCGAUGGAGACUGCAAGGCUUGAAUCUGGCAGAGGGGGGUAGAAUUCCACGUGUAGCAGU
rnacentral:rRNA from 1 species